CAGUAUCUAGCUAAAGGUAAAAAUUUUAAGAUGUUAUAUGAAAAGGAAGUCUUGUCAGUCUAAAAUGAUAUUCAGAAAGAAUUUGCUAAUCAAAAGCUAGUUAUAUAGUUUUGGUAAAUAUGGCUUGGCUUUUUUUUCUUUUUUUCUUUUUUUUUUUUACAGGUCAUGUGAGUGGCUCAGCAAUGUGUGACACUACAAAAACUAUCGCAGACUACUCAUUUUCUCUGGGGUUCAUGGAGGUGACAAGGAUGGACUCCCAAGGCAUGUCUGCAAUGGUUGUUUGAAACAAGAAACAGAUACCCUCUUGCUGUCAUUCAUCUCUGAUCACCGGGAAUCUGAGCUUGGAGGAAGGUGAAAGAAAACUCCUACCGAGAACUGGGAAUCAUUUGUCUC
rnacentral:lncRNA from 1 species